rnacentral:snRNA from 1 species
UCAGAAUAUGCUGCACUUUUCUG